AGUGAACGCUGGCGGCGGGCCUAAUACAUGCAAGUCGAACGGAGUGGCGCACGCGUGCGUAAUGUUUAGCCAAUCGGCCUUACACUAGCGGACAACAGUUGGAAUCGACAGCUAAUACUCUAUAGUGUCGGAUGAGGCUAUAUUGUAUCAGCUAGGUGGAGAGGUAAUGGCUCACCAAGGCUAUGACGCGCAACUGGUCUGAGAGGAUGAGCAGUCGCACUCGAACGGAGGCAACAGCCGGGAUCCGUCGGGAGUGGGCAAUACGGAAUUGCAGUCAAUGGGGGGGUGCCUGGAGCACCUGCGGCUCGUGGAGGAUGUCACGUGUCGGAGCGUAAACGCUGCUUGUUAGGGAUGCGGUACCUAACGAAUAAGCACCGGCUAACUCCGUGCCAGCAGCCGCGGUAAUAC
rnacentral:rRNA from 1 species